rnacentral:rRNA from 1 species
UACGGAGGGGGCUAGCGUUGUUCGGAAUUACUGGGCGUAAAGCGCACGUAGGCGGAUUUGCCAGUCAGGGGUGAAAUCCCGGGGCUCAACCUCGGAACUGCCUCUGAUACAGCAAGUCUUGAGUCCGGAAGAGGUGGGUGGAAUUCCUAGUGUAGAGGUGAAAUUCGUAGAUAUUAGGAGGAACACCAGUGGCGAAGGCGGCCCACUGGUCCGGUACUGACGCUGAGGUGCGAAAGCGUGGGGAGCAAACAGG